rnacentral:misc_RNA from 1 species
CGGCCAAGAAUAGGAGCGCGGCGCUGCGGCGCCGGCCGCCAUGGCAGCAGACCAUGGCCGGAAGGCGAAGGGGGAGGUCAAAGGGGAGAUCUUGACGCUAUUGCGGGACUGCGGCCCAGUCGUUUGGUACUUGGGUUGCUGGUGGCGGUGGUGUCAUGGGGGACAGCUCGGAGGUGGGCAAGUGGCUGGCUGACCUCCUCAGUCUCUUCUCAACCUUGUUGGCUUCUGUGUGAUGCGGCGUGCGUUUGGCACCGGCAGGUCCUGCUUGGUGUGAAAAGGGAAGCAGGAGCGAAGAAGCUUUGGAUAGUGGAAAGUGACGAAGGGGAGGCCGGGGGAAAGGGGGCGAGGAGGCUAGCUGAGGAAGGAGGCCAUAAAUUUGGGAGAGGUGGAGGGAGUAAAUGGAGGAGUAAAUUCUGGCGACUCCGGAUUCAGCUCAGCCUCAGCUGCCGCCCAGCACACCGUACGGAGUAGGAGAUUCAGGAUUUCCAUUUUUUAUACCGGGA